UACGUAGGCGGCUUUGUAGGUUGGGUGUGAAAUCCCACGGCUCAACCGUGGAACUGCGCUCAAAACCACAGGGCUUGAGGGAAGUAGAGGUAAGCGGAACUGAUGGCGGAGCGGUGAAAUGCGUUGAUAUCAUCAGGAACACCAGUGGCGAAGGCGGCUUACUGGGCUUCUUCUGACGCUGAGGUACGAAAGCUAGGGUAGCGAACAGGAUUAGAUACCCUGGUAGUCC
rnacentral:rRNA from 1 species